UACGUAGGGUGCGAGCGUUGUCCGGAAUUAUUGGGCGUAAAGAGCUCGUAGGCGGUGUGUCACGUCGGCCGUGAAAACCUGCAGCUUAACUGUGGGCGUGCGGUCGAUACGGGCAUCACUGGAGUUCGGCAGGGGAGACUGGAAUUCCUGGUGUAGCGGUGAAAUGCGUAGAUAUUGGAAAGACCACCGAUGGCGAAGGCACUCUACUGGGCCAUUACUGACACUGAGAGACGAAAGCUAGGGGAGCAAAUGGG
rnacentral:rRNA from 1 species